GGUUUGAUCAUGGCUCAGAUUGAACGCUGAAUGGUGGAUGCUUUACACAUGCAAGUCGAACGGCAGCACGGACUUCGGUCUGGUGGCGAGUGGCGAACGGGUGAGUAAUGUAUCGGAACGUGCCUAGUAGCGGGGGAUAACUACGCGAAAGCGUAGCUAUCACGCGCAUACGCCCUUCGGGGAAAGUGGGGACCUUCGGCCUGCAGCUUAUAGAGCGGUCGAUAUCUGAUUAGCUCAGUUGGUGGGGUAACGGCUCACCAAGGCGACGAUCCGUAGCUGGUUUGAGAGGACGACCAGCCACACUGGGACGACACGUACCAGACUCCUACGGGAGGCAGCAGUGGUAAAUUUUGACAAUGGGGAAACCUCUGAUCCAGCCAUCCUGCGUGUGAUGAAGGCCUGGGUUGUAAAGCACUUUUGGCAGGAUAAGAAACGGCACGGAUAACACCCGCAACUGACGGUACCUGCAGAAUAAGCACCGGCUAACUACGUGCCAGCAGCCGCGGUAAUACGUAGGGUGCAAGCGUUAUUAAUCGGAAUUACCGCGUAAAGCGUGCGCAGGCGGUUCGGAAAGAAAGAUGUGAAAUCCCAGAGCCAACUUGGGAACUGUAUUUAACUCACCGAGCUAGAGUGUGUCAGAGGGAGGUGAAUUCCGCGUGUAGCAGAAAUGACGAUAUGGAGGAAACACCACGUAAGCGGGCGGCGCAGCCUCUGGGAUAACACCGACGCUCAUGCACGAAAGCGUGGGGGAGCAAACAGGAUUAGAUACCCUGGUAGUCCACGCCCUAAACGAUGUCAACUAGCUAGGCCUGGCCUGGUAGCGCAGCUAACGCGCGCGUAGUUGACCGCCUGGGAGAGUACGGUCGCAAGAUUAAAAACUCAAAGGAAUUGACGGGGACCCGCACAAGCGGUGGAUGAUGUGGAUUAAUUCGAUGCAACGCGAAAACCUUACCUGUAAUUUUGACAUGUCUGGAAUCCCGAAGAGAUUUGGGAGUGCUCGCAAGAGAACGGAAACAAGAGAAAUGGCAGCUGCCGCCGCCUCGUGUCGUGAGAUGUUAGUUAGAACCUGCACAUAACUUGUCAUUAGUUGCUACGAAAGGCAAUCGCACGAGAUCGCCGCCGCGGCAAACCGGAGGAAGGUGGGGAUGACGUCAAGUCCUCAUGGCCCUUAUGGGUAGGGCUUCACAUCAAGGCCAAUGAAAUGGGACAGAGGGUCGCCAACUCCAAGGCGAGGGGGAGCCAAUCCAGAAACCCGAUCGUAACUGGAUCGCAGUCUGCAACUCUGACUGCGUGAAGUCGGAAUCGCCAGGUGCAAUCGCGGAUCAGCAUGUCGCGGUGAAUACGUUCUGGUCUUGUACACACCGCCCGUCACACCAUGGAGUGGGUUUUACCAGGCGUAGCGUUAGCUCUAACCGUGGCGAGGGCUAUCAAUAUGGAUUCAUGACUGGGUGAAGUCGUACAACAAGGUAGCUCUGCGAUAAUUGAUGCCUCC
rnacentral:rRNA from 1 species